AGAUCAGGUCAUUAAGGAAACAGAUUUGAAUGAAACUGGAUGGAGUCACAGGUUUUAAUCUACCAUCAAACAUUCUUAAGAUUUUAUUGAUCUUGGAAGGAGUUGCAGAUUUCCUAAUCCUUUCCAACGCUCCUAAGGUAACCUGAUGAUUUUUAUUUUGAUUAAGGCCUAGAAGUUUGGGUAGACACUUCAAGCAUGCAUCUGCAUUUCACUCAUACUUUGUAACCUCUACUCAUUGCAGAAUGUUGUUUUUUCUUUGUGGGCACAUGAGCCCCCCUGCUGUUUUUCUACUUCUCUCUGUCUUUAUGUCCCUUGCUUUUGCACCUGUUCUCUUUUUCAGAACCGAUGCUGCACUUCGGACCAUCUGCUGCCUUGAGACGUCUCGAUCCCUUCAUUCCUUCCCUCUUUAACUCUUUCAACCCAUUACACAUAAUGGUUACCCUGCACAGUUGCUCUUCAUGAAGUUUCUCCACAUUUUUCCCGUAAAGGGUUUUUGUGGAGUUUUUCUUUUAUUGGCAUCUUGACAUGGUAAAUCACAAGCUUUGUCUGCAGGUCAGUAUUUGUCUCAGCUCCCCUAAAGGUGACCAGUGUUCCUCCAGAAAGCAACAGAACUUGAUAACAACAAUCAACCAUAAUAUCAAAGAAUCUUUAUUUUAAUCCUACAAUGAAUAAUAUAAUAAAUACAAUUGUACCUAAAUAUUAA